rnacentral:rRNA from 1 species
UACGUAGGGUGCAAGCGUUGUCCGGAAUUAUUGGGCGUAAAGAGCUCGUAGGCGGCUUGUCGCGUCGACUGUGAAAUCCCGCGGCUCAACCGCGGGUCUGCAGUCGAUACGGGCAGGCUAGAGUUCGGUAGGGGAGACUGGAAUUCCUGGUGUAGCGGUGAAAUGCGCAGAUAUCAGGAGGAACACCGAUGGCGAAGGCAGGUCUCUGGGCCGAUACUGACGUGAGGAGCGAAAGCGUGGGGAGCGAACAGGAAUUAGA